AGAUUGAACGCUGGCGGCAGGCCUAACACAUGCAAGUCGAGCGGUAGAGAGGUGCUUGCACCUCUUGAGAGCGGCGGACGGGUGAGUAAAGCCUAGGAAUCUGCCUGGUAGUGGGGGAUAACGCUCGGAAACGGACGCUAAUACCGCAUACGUCCUACGGGAGAAAGCAGGGGACCUUCGGGCCUUGCGCUAUCAGAUGAGCCUAGGUCGGAUUAGCUAGUUGGUGAGGUAAUGGCUCACCAAAGGCGACGAUCCGUAACUGGUCUGAGAGGAUGAUCAGUCACACUGGAACUGAGACACGGUCCAGACUCCUACGGGAGGCAGCAGUGGGGAAUA
rnacentral:rRNA from 1 species